rnacentral:tRNA from 1 species
GGGCGCGUAGCUCAGUUGGUUAGAGCGCUACACUCACAUUGUAGAGGUCGGGGGUUCGAGUCCCUUCGCGCCCA